rnacentral:rRNA from 1 species
GACGAACGCUGGCGGCGUGGAUUAGGCAUGCAAGUCGAACGGUAGGAUACCUUCGGGUAUCUGAGAGUGGCGAACGGGUGAGUAACACGUAGGUGAUCUACCCUCAAGAUUGGGACAACCCAGGGAAACUUGGGCUAAUACCGGAUGAAAGCAGCAGUGAUGUUGUUUGAAAGGUGGCGUAAGCUGCCGUUUGGGGAUGAGCCUGCGCUCUAUUAGUUAGUUGGCGGGGUAAAGCCCACCAAGGCGAUGAUAGAUAGGCGGCCUUAACGGGUGGUCGCCCACACUGGGAUUGAGAUACGGCCCAGACUCCUACGGGAGGCAGCAGUCGAGAAUAGUCUACAAUGGCCGAAAGGCUGAUAGUGCGACGCCGCGUGAACGAAGAAGCCCUUCGGGUGUAAGUCUUUAUAUGUGAGCAGUGCUUUCUAUGUGAACAGCAUGGGGAGAGAGAUAUUAGCAUAUGAAUAAGCAACGGCUAACUCCGUGCCAGCA